UCGGCCGCUCAUUCCUUCGAUCGUCUUGAUGGAGCGCUCACUAAAAUCAAAAUAGAUAAAUGGUGGUAUUCGCAUCUCAAGAGAUGGAAUUUGCCACCUGGCCUAAAUUUGCAGAAGCAUCAGCUCAUAUGCAAGAAGAGUGAAGCCUGCCAUCUCUCCAUAAAGGGUAGAUGGAGGAGGAAGAGAGGAAAGGGGUUGAGGGGACAAAAUAGGGAGAAAGGGAGGAGAAAAGGAAACAAACUACAAACUACUUUAGAUGAUUUUCCCAGAAUGAGGAGGCAGACUAGAGAGAUGAUAUUUCUGGGUUUGGAAUGGAACUUAAUCCAGUGUGAGUCCCAUCCUAGAUCUAGAAUAACAGGAUUUGAGAUGACCGAUAAGAAAACCUUAGAACUGUUUUCAACUUUCACAUCCCCAUUGCCCAGGAAAAUGCUGUUGCACAAGGCAGCAACAUGAGUCAUUAAUUUAUAAUGAAAUUCUACAUCCCAGAUUCAAUUUAAAGAUAGACUUCAGCCUUCUCUCCCUGCGAUUUGUUUUGUCCCACCUAUUCUCUGUUAAAACCUUUUUACCAUAUAUGAAAACAUAUUAAAACCAUUCUUUUAAUACUUGCAAACUAUUUCCUAUUUUGAGGAUCUAUGUACAAACCACUGGGGGUGAAAAAUUUUUCUUGGAAAAAUCCUGAAUUCCUGACAUCAUCUCUGUUAGAGCCCAAGGCAAUAUACAGUAGUAACCUCCACUUCAUUUACCUUGUGUGCCUGGGUUAGGUUAAAUUAGAAUUUUAAGAUUAACAUCUGUGUUCUUUAACAGAGGGUAUUCUCAAAGACAAAAGUAAAUACUUCAGCUUUUGAAUAAAAUGUUAUAACCUCGU